rnacentral:rRNA from 1 species
AACUUUCAACAACGGAUCUCUUGGUUCUGGCAUCGAUGAAGAACGCAGCGAAAUGCGAUAAGUAAUGUGAAUUGCAGAAUUCAGUGAAUCAUCGAAUCUUUGAACGCACAUUGCGCCCGACAGUAUUCUGUCGGGCAUGCCUGUUCGAGCGUCAU